GUUCCUGUAUACUACCAUACCAUUUUCCUUUCAAUUUUUGAUCUUCUUCCCAUAAUGUUGUCCAUAAAUUUUUUAUCGAGUUAUUGAUAUAAAAAUAAUAAUCACUCACAGGAACCUGUACCACAUUUCUGACAUUAAGCGUGUUAAUCCCUUCAUAUGCAGCUUUGUCUGCUUUUUCGUUACCAGUAAUACCUUUAUGUGAGGGUACCCACAUAAAGGCAACAGUUAUAUAGCUUAAGGCUAUUUAAAAGACUCAAAGAGUCUGUCAAAAUUAGAAAAUAUUUACAAUUAUUUAUAGAAAUUAUAGAUUUUAAAGCGGCAAAAACUGCAUAUGCCUCUGCUGUAAAUAUGAAGCACUUUUUAUCAAGAGCAAAGCUUUGAGCAACAUCUUUUUGGGAAUCAUAUACCGCACUUCUCACAAAAUCAUUGCCUUUACUGCCAUCAGUGUAGAUUGUAUAAUACUUGUUAUUUUCUUCUAUAUAAGCCAGUAAAUCUGAAUUAUUUUCGAUUGAAUUUGAUAAAAUCGUAAUAGGAUGAGUGAUACAACUGUAUGAAUGAGUGUAACACGACCAGUGUGUAAGUUUUUUGAUGUUCGAAUAAUGAGAUUGUAUUUCUAAAAAGAUCUGGCACAGAGUUGGAGAUGUACCUCUCAGGAGACCAUUUGGUGAAGUGAGUGGACCAUCUAUAUUGAUUGGAUCCGAUAUGAGAGAAAUGAAGCUAUCAACACAACUUCUUCCUCUGCGAAAUCCAUAUUGAAUGUGUGGAAUGACAUUAUUGGAUUCUGCAUACCAGUCAAGUCGAGAUUUCACCAUAUUUUCAAAUAUUUUUCCAAUACAUGAUGAUAACGAGAUUGGACGAUAAGAACUGAUCUGUUCAGGUGACUUAUCUGGUUUUAAUAUAGGUAUUACACAUUGAGUUUGCCAUGAACUUGGUAUGAGUUUUUUAUGUCAUAGAUUAUUAAGAACAUUCAAAAAUAGCUUUUGUACAGAUUCAGAUAGAUGUUUUAUUAAUAAAUAUGGAAAAUCAUCUAAAC